GAAUCACCCUUCUGUCUGGUGAGACUAGCCACUGUCACAGAUUACUCAACACUAGUAUUCUUUCUUUCGAAAAUUGCCAGAAUCGGUGUUUUUGAAACUUAAUAACAGUUCAGAAUGUCAACUAAGUAAAAUGUUCAAAGAUUGGGAAAUCAUGUAGUCCAUCCAAUAAGUGGGAUCUUCAGAGUGGGCUUGCAGUCCAGUUUAAUUUUAGGGUGAAUUAAAAAAAUAAACUAGCUUUAAUGUGCAUUAAAAAUUUUAAAACUACUUAUUUGUAUAUUAUCUGGCCCCAAUCUUAUAAAGUUAGGUGUAACAGAUAUAACUCAGUAUCCUGGUGGUUCUUAUUCUUUACGAGAUAUAAUUUUAAAUGUCACUCAGUGACACAUUAUAAUUAUAUGCUGUUUCUGAAGUAUAUUCAUUUGGCUCUUUCUGUUUGUUUUGUUUUCUCCAAUUCAUAGAUUUGUUUGUUUGUUUUUUUAGUCUAAAUGGAAAGUAGUAAUCUUGGGACUCAAAGGCGGUUAAGACAUGCUUUUGGAAGCAUUGACUACAAACAAAUUCUUUCUUCCUUUGGUCUAAAGGGAAAGCUACCCAAAGCAUUUUAAUGCUCUAGCCUGUUACUCUGCUUAACUUCAUUUUCCAAUUCAUCUGCUAAGAAACGUCUUUUGAAUGAUGGCUAGAUGAUGUUCCCAGAUACUGGUACUUUUAGACUGCAGCAUAAUAAAUGGUUAUCCAUUUGGGUUUAGGCCAGUAAGAGUUCUGUUUUCUCCCAUCUUGCUUCCAUUAAAGAAUGCGAUGCAUAGUGGUGGCUCCAGUUCCUUGUGCGUAGUUUGGAGGCCCUGAAAGCCCUCCAAAUGUAGGAUUCCUGAUCGCCUGUUCUGCACCCUCUUCCUCUGGCAUUAUACUCCAUUCCCGUGACUCUGUUUCUCUCCUCUAUGUGCUUAAUCCAAAAACUUCACAUUGUGCCUGCAGAGCAGGGUUGGGUCCCUUCUGCUCACUCUGCUCCCUGACCCCAUUGAACAGAUAACAGUUUGUGAUGUGGUGUGACUUCCCAGCUCAGUGGCCGUCCUCUUCAUGGACUUUCCUUUAGUCCUGUCUAGGUCUACCCAGAUGUGUUUGAUCUGCUCUUGCAGGGUCUACCCAGAUGUGUUUGACCCGCUCUUGCAGGGUCUGUCCAGAUGUGUUUGACCCGCUCUCACAGUGGCCAUCCAGAUGUGUUUGAUCCGCUCUUGCAGGGUCUGUCCAGAUGUGUUUGACCCGCUCUUGCAGAGUCUGUCCAGAUGUGUUUGACCCACUCUCACAGUGGCUAUCCAGAUGUGUUUGGCCCGCUCUUGCAGGGUCUGUCCAGAUGUGUUUGGCCCGCUCUUGCAGGGUCUGUCCAGAUGUGUUUGAUCCGCUCUUGCAGGGUCUGUCCAGAUGUGUUUGGCCCGCUCUUGCAGGGUCUAUCCAGAUGUGCUUGAUCCGCUCUCACAGUGGCUAUCGUCUCAUUUGCCUUAGAGUAGUGGCUGCACACUCCACUUCUUUGUUGUGUUUUCUACCCUUGUGAUUAUUUAUGUAUGUAUCUUACUAUCUAUUUAUGUCCUGACUGCCAUACUCAGUUAGUUCACAUAGGCAUACAAUAAGACACAUUGCCAGGCUCCCUUCAGACGUAAUUAUUUUAACCAACACAUUAGACAUUGGUCAUUGGCUUUUUCUGAUGCAAGUCUUCUACCAGUCAUUCCAUGAAACCUUUGAAAAUAUCAAAGUAUCCAUAUAUUUAUAGUCCACAUUACCUGCUCCAUAGAAUUUUUUGAGCUUCAGAUUUUCUCCUAAGGUAUCAGAAGAUGAUGUGGGGGGGAUUUGCAUAAUUAAAAUGUUCGAUAAGCCAGAGCGGUACACUAGAGGCAAGGUGUGAUCAGAUAGGAGUAGAAAUGAAAUGGGCCUGGGAGAUUCUUGGAGAUGUGUGUGAAAGGCCAAACGUAAUAGGAAGAGAAGCAGGCAUGAUUGUGGUCACCAGAGGAGUUGGGGAGGGCCAGGGUUAGUGUGAGCAUGCUUGUGUGUGAGCGUGUGUGUGUGUGUGUGUGUGUGUGUGUGUGUGUGUGUGUGUGUGUCAGUGUCAGAAGUUGGUUAUCAGAGGCUGAGAUUCUCCUGAAGGCUGAACAGUUUUUACAGCAUUCAGAAUUAGUGCCUCUCUAGGUUUGCUGGUAAGUAAGGUUGGGUGCUGGACCCAUAGGUUAGAAUUAAUGGCAUAUGGUUAAUAUUAGUGUUUUCAAAAUGGCAUAUAAACAUGAUCAAAUGAGAUUAAUUUCUACUGAAAGACAAAGGUCUUUGGUUAAACUUAAAGAGUAACUAAAACUUACUUGUUUUCAUUCCUGAUUUUUAGUAUGUUUCCAACGCAGAGUGUUGCAGUGAUCUAAUGAGGCUGUUAUGAUGCGAGUAUAAAACGUACCUUACAUGCUCAUGUGUUUGAACAUUCCUUCCCUAGCUGGCUGGAACACCUGGAGGAUGGGCCAGCUAGAGGAAGUGGGUCUUGGGACUGCCAGCCUUCUGGAUUGUAGCUGAGGCCCACACUUCCUGCUCAGACUGCCUCCUUCCUGGCCAGGGACGUGUGAACAAGCUGACAGUGACACUCUUGACCAUGAAGCUGCUUGUCUCCACACCUCUCGCCUUCCUUACAAUGACCUCCCAUCGUACCCUCUCAGUUGUGAGACAAAAUAAGUCAUUCGUCCCCUGUAUUUGUCCUUCAAGGUAUUAUAUCACAGUGUGGAGAAAAGUGAUCCAUAUAAAAAUUAUUUUUAAAAUUA